UCGUGAAUCACGUUUAAUUAAUUGCAAUUGCAAUUGCAUGAAUGCAUACUCGUAUUGUAAAAUUGUUAUUCACAAACUUUUCACCUGCUAAUAAUUGCAAUUAUUACUAUGCAGUGCAACACCUAUUUCUGUGUAUGUAUGCAUGAGAUUACAAUGGGCGCCAGUGCUGAUAAUGGGUGAGCAGAGUGUGCAAUUUGAGUCGAUUAACGUAUACUCGAUGCCGACCUCUGACGUGUGAUCCGGCGCCAUUGGCCGUCUGUCGAUUAUGGAAUCGUCUGGCAAUCAGUACGUACGUGAGGUGCCUAGGUGCAUUUGGAUUGGAAUUGCCUUCAGCUGAUGUCUUGACACCGACAGCAGAUCACAGUCGACAAACCACAACUCACGUGUUCCGGCAAAAAAAAAAGCACCAUUUGCGGCUAGAUGCACACUCAAAACUUGUUCUAUAAAUUCUUAAGCGUUUCCUUAGUGGGUAGCUAGAAGCUGCAAUAUGUGACAACCAGCUGCUAUAUUCAACUUAAUCAAAUCAAGGUGUGAUCCGUUAAUGCAAUAAAUGCUCUUAGGGCGGGGCUGCUCUAAGCAAUCCAGCACAAUCGAGAGAUUCAUCAUUGAAAUCAAUCACAAUUCACAGUUUUUUUAAUCGACGCACCUGCCUGCAGAAAAUAUUUUGAGCUCAGCUCGUGUUCGGCUUAUGGCACAGCUGCACCCAUUCCCAUAUAAUGAUAAAGCGAUGCUGCCACGAGCAUCGAAAUAUUGCUUUUAAAUAGAUAAAAAGAGAUGAAGGGAGGCUAAGCCACUUUGACUUCUGAAUUCAGGCAGAAGAGUUUAGCAUAUGAAUAAAAGCGGUGCGAUGUGCCUUGGCGGAGUCUCUGACACAUUCCCACUUUAAAUUCAAAGCGAUAUGCGUGAGACGAUAAUACCAGAGCUAUAGAUUUAUAUGUUGCCAUGCUGAUGUCGAUGAUCCAGCUGUGAUGAUGCCACCAGGGCGAGACAUUCUUGCCAUGAUGAAAAAAUAUAUUUGAAAUAAUUAAAUGGAUGUCAUAAAAUUAAUAUAUAAAUACAUUAAUUUUAAAGUUAUGUUACACGCUCUAUCUGCAAAUAGUCGUAGACGCGAUAGAGCCACACCAAACAAAAGAAAUGACAGCAAAUAAAUAAAAAAUCAUUAGCAGCUAGUUCUUCCGAGUUUCAAAUCGCCCAUUAUCGAUGUGGCGGCCGCAGACCAAACAAAGCCUAAACACCAAAUAAAGCAUCGUAUCGACUAGCAACAUAUGAGAGCAUUAAGCCACAAACUAGAAUUAGCUAAAUUCUUAGCUUGAUAGGCGGUUCUGGCUUUGAUGUAAGCCAACAAAUCUGUUAAACAAAUUAUUAUUUACCAAAUUUCAAAUAUCUACCUAAUAACACUAAAAUCGAUUUGCUGAAAAAUUCAUUCACAACUUGUGUUGUGGUCUCAAAAAAAAUAAAACAAUACAAAACAAGCAUUUAAUGCUCUAUUCAAGAGUGAUCGACUUGUAGAUGCUCUAUAAAAGCU
rnacentral:sRNA from 1 species